UACGUAGGGGGCAAGCGUUGUCCGGAUUUAUUGGGCGUAAAGAGCUCGUAGGCGGUUUGGUAAGUCUGGUGUGAAAUCUCCACGCUCAACGUGGAGGGGCCACCCGAUACUGCCAUGACUGGAGUCCGGUAGAGGAGACUGGAAUUCCUGGUGUAGCGGUGAAAUGCGCAGAUAUCAGGAGGAACACCGAUGGCGAAGGCAGGUCUCUGGGCCACUACUGACGCUGAGAAGCGAAAGCAUGGGGAGCGAACAGG
rnacentral:rRNA from 1 species